rnacentral:lncRNA from 1 species
AACACAAUAAGAAGGCAUGGGUCGGCAAAAUAAAGGUACAAGAAAGCUAUAGUAACUAUCUGACCCUGCCCUCCAUUAAGCUGUGUAGGGUUGCAUAAGAGUAACGCAUCAUGUUUAUCUUCCCUGUAUUCUUUAAAGAAGAUUCUUCUGCUUGUCACAUCAUUAUUUGCUCUUGUCUUCAUCUGUAAGAUCUUAGUGAGGCCCUGAAAAACGUUGAGCGCUGAAGAAAGUAGAAGCCGUGGUUAGGGAAGGUCUUCGGUUAGUGUUCGCCAUCACCUUAUCUUCUGUCAUUCUUUCUGCUAUGCGGCAAACCCCCAUUGUAAAGAAGCCUAUUCUUGCAAAAGGGACCCUCAUCAUCAUCUAAUUACAUUCAUCUCUGUUUCAGUCGAACAUCAUGCUCCUUGUGUACACUACAGUUAUUUCCUCCUUAUGGAAUAUGGUGCAUGAUAUUGUUGCUGGUUUCAAUCAAGGGAAUUAUCAAUCUGUUUUGAGCUUCCCAAUUGAAAGAGUGAGGUAUAUCAGCAACAUUGUUCCCAUACUCGACCUGUUGCAAAUGAAAAUACCUAAAAUAAAUUGCCUGUAAACAAAUAUCAUGACAUAUGAUUGAUCUUUUUGCAGCUUUUUCAAGGGUUGGUAAGCUUACAGUGUGGCAAAGAAGAAAAGAACCCUUUUGGGAUCAAGGACCCAGGAAGGUGAUGCGCGC